GUUAAAAAAGGGUCACAUUUGAUCAUUUCAUUCCAUCAUGCUGCUCUGUGCACUUGUAAUAUUAUCAGUACUUGCAGGAGUGUCUCUUGGUGAUCUAAUAACGUCUCAUGAUUCUGAAAAACGAGCUCAAGAUGGUAACAGUGUUGCUCUCUACUGUAACUACACUGGUGCUGUGUAUAAUCUACUGUGGUAUCGUCAGUAUCAAAGAUCCAGACCAGAACUCCUUCUCUCCAUGAGUGAAUCUGGAGAUCCAGUUAAAGCCGAUCCAUCAGCGCACUGGUUAUCAGCUAAAGUUGACAAACACAGAAAGCUCAUGGAACUGGAAAUCAGCCCUGCUAAAGUAUCAGACUCUGCACAGUAUUACUGUGCUCUGCAGCCCACAGUGACUGGAAAACCUUUUCUUCUGCACAAAAUCUUUCUGUAUAUGUAUUUGUAUAUUCACUGAUUCUUAACAAGCACAUG